GCUCAGGACGAACGCUGGCGGCGUGCCUAAUACAUGCAAGUCGAACGCGUCUCCGUUAAUGAUUUUAGGUGCUUGCACUUGAAAGAUUUAACAUUGAGACGAGUGGCGAACUGGUGAGUAACACGUGGGUAACCUGCCCUUGAAGUAGGGGAUAACACUUGGAAACAGGUGCUAAUACCGUAUAACAACCAAAACCACCUGGUUUUGGUUUAAAAGACGGCUUCGGCUGUCACUUUAGGAUGGACCCGCGGCGUAUUAGCUUGUUGGUAAGGUAACGGCCUACCAAGGCGAUGAUACGUAGCCGACCUGAGAGGGUAAUCGGCCACAUUGGGACUGAGACACGGCCCAAACUCCUACGGGAGGCAGCAGUAGGGAAUCUUCCACAAUGGACGAAAGUCUGAUGGAGCAACGCCGCGUGAGUGAUGAAGGGUUUCGGCUCGUAAAACUCUGUUGUUGGAGAAGAACAGGUGUCAGAGUAACUGUUGACAUCUUGACGGUAUCCAACCAGAAAGCCACGGCUAACUACGUGCCAGCAGCCGCGGUAAUACGUAGGUGGCAAGCGUUGUCCGGAUUUAUUGGGCGUAAAGCGAGCGCAGGCGGUUUUUUAGGUCUGAUGUGAAAGCCUUCGGCUUAACCGGAGAAGUGCAUCGGAAACCGGGAGACUUGAGUGCAGAAGAGGACAGUGGAACUCCAUGUGUAGCGGUGAAAUGCGUAGAUAUAUGGAAGAACACCAGUGGCGAAGGCGGCUGUCUGGUCUGUAACUGACGCUGAGGCUCGAAAGCAUGGGUAGCGAACAGGAUUAGAUACCCUGGUAGUC
rnacentral:rRNA from 1 species